rnacentral:rRNA from 1 species
UUCCGGUUGAUCCCGCCGGAGGUUACUGCUAUCGGUGUUCGACUAAGCCAUGCAAGUCAUAUGUUCCUCGUGAACAUGGCAUACUGCUCAGUAACACGUGGAUAACCUGCCCUUGGGUCUGGGAUAACCCCGGGAAACUGGGGAUAAUAUCGGAUAACGCAUAUGUGCUGGAAUGCUUUAUGCGUAAAACGGAUUCGUCCGCCCAAGGAUGGGUCUGCGGCCUAUCAGGUAGUAGUGGGUGUAAUGUACCUACUAGCCAACAACGGGUACGGGUUGUGAGAGCAAGAGCCCGGAGAUGGAUUCUGAGACAUGAAUCCAGGCCCUACGGGGCGCAGCAGGCGCGAAAACUUUACAAUGCGGGAAACCGUGAUAAGGGAACACCGAGUGCCAGCAUCAUAUGCUGGCUGUCCAGAUGUGUAAACUACAUCUGUUAGCAAGGGCCGGGCAAGACCGGUGCCAGCCGCCGCGGUAACACCGGCGGCCCGAGUGGUGACCGUUAUUAUUGGGUCUAAAGGGUCCGUAGCCGGUUUGGUCAUUCCUCCGGGAAAUCUGAUAGCUUAACUGUUAGGCUUUC